rnacentral:rRNA from 1 species
GACGAACGCUGGCGGCGUGCUUAACACAUGCAAGUCGAACGGUAAGGCCCUUCGGGGUACACGAGUGGCGAACGGGUGAGUAACACGUGGGUGAUCUGCCCUGCACUUCGGGAUAAGCCUGGGAAACUGGGUCUAAUACCGGAUAGGACCCUGGGAUGCAUGUCCUGGGGUGGAAAGCUUUUGCGGUGUGGGAUGGGCCCGCGGCCUUUCAGCUUGUUGGUGGGGUGAUGGCCUACCAAGGCGACGACGGGUAGCCGGCCUGAGAGGGUGACCGGCCACAAUGGGAAUGUGAUACGGCCCAGACUCUAACGGGGGGCAGGAGUGGGGAAUAUUGCGCAAUGGGCGCAAGCCUGAUGCAGCGAGGCCGCGUGAGGGAUGACGGCCUUCGGGUUGUAAACCUGUUUCAGCACCGACGAAGCGCAAGUGACGGUAGGUGCAGAAGAAGGACCGGCCAACUACGUGCCAGCCGCCGCAGUAA